rnacentral:rRNA from 1 species
UACGGGGGGGGCAAGCGUUGUUCGGAAUUACUGGGCGUAAAGGGCUCGUAGGCGGCCAACUAAGUCAUACGUGAAAUCCCUCGGCUUAACCGGGGAACUGCGUCUGAUACUGGAUGGCUUGAGUUCGGGAGAGGGAUGCGGAAUUCCUGGUGUAGCGGUGAAAUGCGUAGAGAUCAGGAAGAACAUCGGUGGCGAAGGCGCUCUGCUGGACCAUAACUGACACUCAGGGACGAAAGUUAGGGGAGCGAAUGGG